rnacentral:rRNA from 1 species
AACGUAGGUACCGAGCGUUAUCCGGAUUUACUGGGCGUAAAGCGCGUUCAGGCGGUUUGGCAAGUCGGGCAUGAAAUCUCUCGGCUCAACCGGGAGGGGUUGUCCGAUACUGCUGGACUUGAGGGCAGUAGAGGGUGGUGGAAUUCCGGGUGUAGUGGUGAAAUGCGUAGAUAUCCGGAGGAACACCAGUGGCGAAAGCGGCCACCUGGACUGCACCUGACGCUGACACGCGAAAGCUAGGGGAGCGAACGGG